GUAUUUUCAAGCCCAACAGAAAGCUCAUGAGCGGAGAAGAAAAGACAGAUUUGGAGAUCUAUUCUGUUAUGAACUUGCAGAAAUUGAACACGUGGGACAAAGUUAAUCCCCUCUAGAAAUGGAUGUUGCCCUUUCUGUGGCCCAUUCUCUCAACUAUUUUUUCCUGGUGCUACCACUGUCUGGCUAUAAGUGAAAAGCCAUCAAAGUCACUUCUGACACCUGCAACAUGAAAUAAUAGUGCAAAUAAAAGAAGAUGUAGUCUUACACCUAAUGACCUCAUAUUGAUGUAAG